GAUGAACGCUAGCUACAGGCUUAACACAUGCAAGUCGAGGGGAAACGACAUCGAAAGCUUGCUUUUGAUGGGCGUCGACCGGCGCACGGGUGAGUAACGCGUAUCCAACCUGCCCAUCACUUGGGAAUAACCUUGCGAAAGUAAGACUAAUACCCAAUGAUAUCCCACGAAGGCAUCGGAAUGGGAUUAAAGAUUUAUCGGUGAUGGAUGGGGAUGCGUCUGAUUAGCUUGUUGGCGGGGUAACGGCCCACCAAGGCAACGAUCAGUAGGGGUUCUGAGAGGAAGGUCCCCCACAUUGGAACUGAGACACAGUCCAAACUCCUACGGGAGGCAGCAGUGAGGAAUAUUGGUCAAUGGGCGAGAGCCUGAACCAGCCAAGUAGCGUGCAGGAAGACGGCCCUAUGGGUUGUAAACUGCUUUUAUAAGGGAAUAAAGUGGGUCACGUGUGACUUUUUGCAUGUACCUUAUGAAUAAGGACCGGCUAAUUCCGUG
rnacentral:rRNA from 1 species